rnacentral:rRNA from 1 species
CUACGGGACGCUGCAGUGGGGAAUCUUAGACAAUGGGGGCAACCCUGAUCUAGCCAUGCCGCGUGAGUGAUGAAGGCCUUAGGGUCGUAAAGCUCUUUCGCCUGUGAUGAUAAUGACAGUAGCAGGUAAAGAAACCCCGGCUAACUCCGUGCCAGCAGCCGCGGUAAUACGGAGGGGGUUAGCGUUGUUCGGAAUUACUGGGCGUAAAGCGCGCGUAGGCGGAUUAGAAAGUUGGGGGUGAAAUCCCGGGGCUCAACCUCGGAACUGCCUCCAAAACUGCUAGUCUAGAGUUCGAGAGAGGUGAGUGGAAUUCCGAGUGUAGAGGUGAAAUUCGUAGAUAUUCGGAGGAACACCAGUGGCGAAGGCGGCUCACUGGCUCGAUACUGACGCUGAGGUGCGAAAGUGUGGGGAGCAAACAGGAUUAGAUACCCUUGUAGUC